UACGAAGGGGGGCUAGCGUUGCUCGGAAUCACUGGGCGUAAAGGGCGCGUAGGCGGCCAUUCAAGUCGGAGGUGAAAGCCCAGGGCUCAACCCUGGAAUUGCCUUCGAUACUGUUUGGCUAGAGACCGGAAGAGGUAAGUGGAACUGCGAGUGUAGAGGUGAAAUGCGCAGAUAUCAGGAGGAACACCAAUGGCGAAGGCAGCACUCUGGGACGUGACUGACGCUGAGACGCGAAAGCGUGGGGAGCAAACAGG
rnacentral:rRNA from 1 species